rnacentral:rRNA from 1 species
GACGAACGCUGGCGGUGUGCUUAACACAUGCAAGUCGAACGGAAAGGCCCUGCUUUUGUGGGGUGCCCGAGUGGCGAACGGGUGAGUAACACGUGAGUAACCUGCCCUUGACUUUGGGAUAACUUCAGGAAACUGGGGCUAAUACCGGAUAGGAGCUCCUGCUGCAUGGUGGGGGUUGGAAAGUUUCGGCGGUUGGGGAUGGACUCGCGGCUUAUCAGCUUGUUGGUGGGGUAGUGGCUUACCAAGGCUUUGACGGGUAGCCGGCCUGAGAGGGUGACCGGCCACAUUGGGACUGAGAUACGGCCCAGACUCCUACGGGAGGCAGCAGUGGGGAAUAUUGCACAAUGGGCGGAAGCCUGAUGCAGCAACGCCGCGGGCGGGAUGACGGCCUUCGGGUUGUAAACCGCUUUCGCCUGUGACGAAGCGUGAGUGACGGUAAUGGGUAAAGAAGCACCGGCUAACUACGUG